rnacentral:rRNA from 1 species
GACGAACGCUGGCGGCGCGCCUAACACAUGCAAGUCGAACGAGCGAGAGAGAGCUUGCUUUCUCGAGCGAGUGGCGAACGGGUGAGUAACGCGUGAGGAACCUGCCUCAAAGAGGGGGACAACAGUUGGAAACGACUGCUAAUACCGCAUAAGCCCACGGCUCGGCAUCGAGCAGGGGGAAAAGGAGCAAUCCGCUUUGAGAUGGCCUCGCGUCCGAUUAGCUAGUUGGUGGGGUAACGGCCCACCAAGGCGACGAUCGGUAGCCGGACUGAGAGGUUGAACGGCCACAUUGGGACUGAGACACGGCCCAGACUCCUACGGGAGGCAGCAGUGGGGAAUAUUGCACAAUGGGGGAAACCCUGAUGCAGCGACGCCGCGUGGAGGAAGAAGGUCCUCGGAUUGUAAACUCCUGUUGUUGGGGAAGAUAAUGACGGUACCCAACAAGGAAGUGACGGCUAACUACGUG